rnacentral:rRNA from 1 species
CCUACGGGAGGCUGCAGGGGGGAAUAUUGCACAAUGGGGGAAACCCUGAUGCAGCAACGCCGCGUGAGUGAAGAAGUAUCUCGGUAUGUAAAGCUCUAUCAGCAGGGAAGAAAAUGACGGUACCUGCCUAAGAAGCCCCGGCUCACUACGUGACAGCAGCGGCGGUCAUACGUAGGGGACAAGCGUUAUCCGGAUUUACUGGGUGUAAGGGGAGCGUAGACGGUGUGGCAAUGCUGAAGUGAAAGCCCGGGGCUCAACCCCGGGACUGCUUUGGAAACUGUCAUGCUGGAGUGCUGGAGAGGUAAGCGGAAUUCCUAGUGUAGCGGUGAAAUGCGUAGAUAUUAGGAGGAACACCAGUGGCGAAGGCGGCUUACUGGACAGUAACUGACGUUGAGGCUCGAAAGCGUGGGGAGCAAACAGGAUUAGAUACCCGGGUAGUC